CCUCCAGACGAGUCAUGAAGCUGCUCCUCCUGCUGGCAGUUGCUGCCAGCCAGAUGGAGCUCUCUGCCUCUUGGGUCACUCUGAAUGCUCCUGGUGGAAACAUCAACAUCAGCACCAUGCCCAUCACUUUCUAUGGAAAAACAUACACA